AGGUAAUGCUGGGCACUCGUGGUGAGACUGCCCCGGUUAACGGGGAGGAAGGUGGGGACGACGUCAAGUCAUCAUGGCCCUUACGCCUAGGGCUACACACGUACUACAAUGGCGCAUACAAAGGGCAGCGAUACCGCGAGGUGGAGCCAAUCCCAAAAAGUGCGUCCCAGUCCGGAUUGCAGUCUGCAACUCGACUGCAUGAAGUUGGAAUCGCUAGUAAUUCGAGAUCAGCAUGCUCGGGUGAAUGCGUUCCCGGGCCUU
rnacentral:rRNA from 1 species